rnacentral:lncRNA from 12 species
CAAAGAACUCUGGCUUUUCCAAAAGGUCCACGCUGGGAUUCCAUUCUAGUGACUUUACUGAAGGCAUCUAAUUACUCAUUAGUUAGUUCCCACAAUCUGUUUGAGAACUUGUUUAUGUUAACUGAGAGGGUCGGGAGCCUAGUUAGGAGUCUGGGACAAUCGCACAUCAGAAAUAAGAUAAACACGUCCGGAGUGAUCACAGCGUCCCGAACCCUAGAGCUGGAGGGAAUCAAGAGAUCACCAAGGCCUCUCUGAUUUUCCAAAGGAGCACAUGGGAAAGGUCACUCCAAAGUCACUCCGGGAAAUGUGCCUGCCUGGGAUCCCAUUCACAGCUCCUGGCGCAGGCUCUUCCUCAGACAGUACUUAAUGAAUGCUUGUGGAAUUGAAAGAAUACGACUCGGAUGUGCAUCCUUCCCUGUCAGACGUCUCAUUCUAGAAACACAGAGGCCCAUACUGCAGCCAGGCAAUGCUAUUAGGAUGGCUCCUCCCUGGCGCGGAGGGAGGUGGCUCUGGCCACAGCACAACCAUUACCCACAAGGAGAGAGAGAGAGCAAAGCACCCCCACCCCACCUGUCCCGGGGCCAGGAGACACCCGGGAGCACCUGUUCUCUGGGAGCCGCUGGCUCCAGGGAGUGGCUCUGCUUUCGCAAAGACAGAAUCGUGCCUCUUCGAAAGGUUCCAUCUGGUGCUCAAGCAGCGGGACCAUGUGAGCCCUGGCUGGCUGCACAAGCUCACACUCACGCACAGUCGCUCACACACACCCAAAUACGGAGGCAAGCAAGAAAGCAGAAGAACACACCAGGAGGAUCCCAGAGGAGUCCUCUGCCUGGCACAGGGGGGACGAAUGUGAAGGUGCAGGGCAGAACAAGACAGAGCUAGGAUUUUCGAAGCCUGGUCAGCUUUGCAAGAGAAGCCCAGAGGAAUACAGACCAGCAGGGAAAGUUACGGCUGGAAAUGAGACAUCGGUACCUUUGCAGGGCCAAGGGCAAGGGAGAGGCAUCCAUACAGAUCCCCAGGCCAGCAUUCCUGGGCUGCUUCCCACCUCCCUCCCCAUGGAGCCCAAACACUAGGUUGGUCAGAUGCAUGGAAAUGCAGACUCCUUUGACCAGUUGCCACCAAGCAGCCUGCUCAGAUGGCACUCAGUAUAGACAGCCAGGCUGCAACUCCUAUUCCUGGGACCGUUCACCCUGACAGCCCUCAUUCUAGCUGUCCCCUUCCUCCAAAGGCAGGAAAGCAAGGACAAGCCAACCCCGAAGCAGGACGAGAGGAAUUGGGAAGAAUCACCUUUUCUAUCUGUUCCCCUGGCUUCUCUGGUCCCAGAAGGCAGCACCUGUGUACACUGAGCCUUAUCCCAACAUCCUCACAAGGAAGAGGCACCACGGUCUGAUGAUGGAGAGAUCUCUGGGAACACAGACCAUGGUCCUGACACGGCUCUCACCCAGGGGACAUCGUCCGUCUACAUCGCAGAGCUCUCCUGAAACUCCGUUUUCACCACUACUACCACUGGCAGCAAGAACACAGAGCCGGGGGUGGUUUGGCCCUCUCUCUGAUCUUGGAAUUCUUGAGCCCUGGGCAGCCAGAGCUUGUCAGCUGUUGGGGGGCACCUUCCUGUUUAGGAUAAAGGAGGCAUCGCCAGACCAGCUUUCCUGUCUCCACCAGGGAAGCCCCCUGGGCAGAGAUUCCGGAGGGAGGGCUGACUUCCUAAGAGAGGAUCUGAAGCCACAGAGGAGUGUUCCCUCCUGCCUUCCAGCUCAGCAAGACCGGAGAAUACAGAUUUAAAGACUUAAAAAACAUAUCUCUAGAGAACAGAGUACCCAGGGACACAGCACCCAGGGUGCAAAUGUAAACACAGAAGUCAUCUAACUUCAGAAGAUGGCCAGGCCCUUCCCCGGGGCUCUGGAUCCUGAGCCCGCAGCCUCCCCCUCCCGCUUACUCACCUUGCACCUCUCCUCCUUUGUUCUUGGCCCGGCUGGGGAUCGGCAGGCACUGGGAAGGCAAGCAGGGUCCUCCCACAUCCAGGUAACAAGGCCACCCCGGUUAGGGCCCGGUUAGGGCCCGAGGUGCAGGGAAGGGCUUGUGGCAAGGGCAGCAGGUGGCCGCCGCUCUGACCUGCCCCCGCCGGAGACAGGUGUGCGCCCUUCCGACAGGGGGGCCCUCACUGUUCUCGGAGGAGAGGAGAGGCGCGUCCUUACCUCCCAAGCGGGGGCUCCAGAAGAAUCAGAGCAAGUGGGCUGCGCUGUUUGCUCGUGCCCCUCCUGUUCUGGACCUGUCCUGAUCCUCUGUGAUCACCCAGGUCCCCCUUACCUCUGCUUUCUCGCCUCAUCCCUUCCUGGUAAGGCCCGUUUACUUAAUACAGAACUCCUUAAAAAAAAAAAAAGCGUAUAUAUAUAUAUAUAUAUAUAUAUAUAUAUAUAUAUAUAUAUGCUGUUUGAUUCGCCAACAUAUAGUAUAACACCCAGUGCUCAUCCCAUCAGGUGCCUCCCUCAGUGCCCAUCACCCAGUCGCCUCAUUUCCCCGCCCACCUCCCCUUCCACUACCCCUUGUUCGUUUCCCAGAGUUAGGAGUCUCUCAUAUUUUGUCUCCCUCUAACUUUUCCCCCACUUAGUUUCCCUCCUUUCUUCUAUAAUCCCUUUCAUUAUUUUUUAUAUUCCCCAUAUAAGUGAAACCAUAUAAUGAUUGUCUUUUAAAUAAAGGUGUGUGCUUCCCCCUGGGGGUCUGUCUU